rnacentral:rRNA from 1 species
UACGAAGGGGGCUAGCGUUGCUCGGAAUGACUGGGCGUAAAGCGCACGUAGGCGGUCUUUUAAGUCGGGGGUGAAAUCCUGGAGCUCAACUCCAGAACUGCCUUCGAUACUGGAAGACUUGAGUCCGGGAGAGGUGAGUGGAACUGCGAAGUGUAGAGGUGAAAUUCGUAGAUAUUCGCAAGAACACCAGUGGCGAAGGCGGCUCACUGGCCCGAUACUGACGCUGAGGCACGAAAGCGUGGGGAGCAAACAGG